GGGGCUGAUUCUGGAUUCGACGGGAUUUGCGAAACCCAAGGUGCAUGCCGAGGGGCGGUUGGCCUCGUAAAAAGCCGCAAAAAAUAGUCGCAAACGACGAAAACUACGCUUUAGCAGCUUAAUAACCUGCUCUGAGCCCUCUCUCCCUAGCUUCCGCUCUUAAGACGGGGAUCAAAG
rnacentral:tmRNA from 3 species